UACGUAGGGUGCAAGCGUUAAUCGGAAUUACUGGGCGUAAAGCGUGCGCAGGCGGUUUUGUAAGUCUGUCGUGAAAUCCCCGGGCUUAACCUGGGAAUGGCGAUGGAGACUGCAAGGCUAGAGUUUGGCAGAGGGGGGUGGAAUUCCGCGUGUAGCAGUGAAAUGCGUAGAGAUGCGGAGGAACACCGAUGGCGAAGGCAGCCCCCUGGGCCAACACUGACGCUCAGGCACGAAAGCGUGGGGAGCAAACAGG
rnacentral:rRNA from 1 species